CACGUAGGGGACGAGCGUUGUCCGGAUUCAUUGGGCGUAAAGGGCGCGUAGGCGGCUCCGAAAGUGGCAUGUGAAAGCCCCCGGCUCAACCGGGGAAGUGCGUGCCAAACUUCGGUUCUUGAGGGCGGUAGGGGGGACUGGAACUCUCGGUGGAGCGGUGAAAUGCGUAGAUAUCGAGAGGAACACCGGUGGCGAAGGCGAGUCCCUGGUCCGCAUCUGACGCUGAGGCGCGAAAGCGUGGGUAGCAAACAGG
rnacentral:rRNA from 1 species